UGGCAGACGGGUGAGUAACACGUAGACAACGUACCCCUCCGCUGGGGAUAGCCACUGGAAACGGUGGGUAAAACCGAAUAGUCUUAUUUUGCGGCAUCGUGAGAUAAGUAAAACUACGGUGUGGAGGGAGCGGUUUGCGUCCUAUUAGCUAGUUGGUGGGGUAAUGGCCCACCAAGGCGACGAUGGGUAGCCGGUCUGAGAGGAUGAUCGGCCACACUGGCACUGAGAUACGGGCCAG
rnacentral:rRNA from 1 species